AUUGAACGCUGGCGGCAGGCCUAACACAUGCAAGUCGAGCGGAUGAAGGGAGCUUGCUCCUGGAUUCAGCGGCGGACGGGUGAGUAAUGCCUAGGAAUCUGCCUGGUAGUGGGGGAUAACGUCCGGAAACGGGCGCUAAUACCGCAUACGUCCUGAGGGAGAAAGUGGGGGAUCUUCGGACCUCACGCUAUCAUAUGAGCCUAGGUCGGAUUAGCUAGUUGGUGGGGUAAAGGCCUACCAAGGCGACGAUCCGUAACUGGUCUGAGAGGAUGAUCAGUCACACUGGAACUGAGACACGGUACAGAAGACUACGGGAGGCAGCAGUGGGGAAUAUUGGACAAUGGGCGAAAGCAUGAUCCAGCCAUGCCGAGUGUGUGAAGAAGGUCUUCGGAUUGUAAAGCACUUUAAGUUGGGAGGAAGGGAAGUAAGUUAAUACCUUGCUGUUUUGACGUUACCAACAGAAUAAGCACCGGCUAACUUCGUG
rnacentral:rRNA from 1 species